GAUGAACGCUAGCGAUAGGCUUAACACAUGCAAGUCGAGGGGCAGCACAAGGUAGCUUGCUAUCUGGGUGGCGACCGGCGCACGGGUGCGUAACGCGUAUGCAACUUGCCCUAUACAGGAGGAUAACCCGUCGAAAGACGGACUAAUACUGCGUAUGCUCACAACUUGGCAUCAAGUGGUGAGGAAAGAAAUUCGGUAUAGGAUAGGCAUGCGUCCCAUUAGCUUGUUGGUGAGGUAACGGCUCACCAAGGCAACGAUGGGUAGGGGAACUGAGAGGCUUAUCCCCCACACUGGUACUGAGACACGGACCAGACUCCUACGGGAGGCAGCAGUGAGGAAUAUUGGUCAAUGGGCGCGAGCCUGAACCAGCCAAGUCGCGUGAAGGAUGACUGUCUUAUGGAUUGUAAACUUCUUUUAUACGGGAAUAACAAGAGUCACGUGUGACUCCCUGCAUGUACCGUAUGAAUAAGCAUCGGCUAACUCCGUG
rnacentral:rRNA from 1 species